UAGUUAGGGUGUUAAGUAUUUUUUCUAGAGUAUCUUCUUCUAUUAUUUCAGUCUGUGUAGCUUUGUCUUGAUAUGUAAUCUGCAAUAACAUUUUUGUUAGUACUGAUCACUUCAAUUGUAAAUGUGAAAUUUAAUAUAUUCAAGACUAGUCUCCGAAUCUCUUUUGUUGUAACUGAAUUUUGUAUUUUCUUUGUUAACCACCAGCGU
rnacentral:lncRNA from 1 species